GGGGAAUAUUGCACAAUGGGGGAAACCCUGAUGCAGCGACGCCGCGUGAAGGAAGAAGUAUCUCGGUAUGUAAACUUCUAUCAGCAGGGAAGAUAAUGACGGUACCUGACUAAGAAGCCCCGGCUAACUACGUGCCAGCAGCCGCGGUAAUACGUAGGGGGCAAGCGUUAUCCGGAUUUACUGGGUGUAAAGGGAGCGUAGGCGGCGGAGCAAGUCAGAAGUGAAAGCCCGGGGCUCAACCCCGGGACGGCUUUUGAAACUGCCCUGCUUGAUUUCAGGAGAGGUAAGCGGAAUUCCUAGUGUAGCGGUGAAAUGCGUAGAUAUUAGGAGGAACACCAGUGGCGAAGGCGGCUUACUGGACUGACAAUGACGCUGAGGCUCGAAAGCGUGGGGAGCAAACAGGAUUAGAUACCCUGGUAGUCCACGCCGUAAACGGUGAAUACUAGGUGUCGGGGGCC
rnacentral:rRNA from 1 species